AUUAACCUCAUGAAUGCAGUUCCUCUUUUUUCUGUUAUAAAAAUAAGCUAUAUAAAUCAUCCAUUUGUCUCUGAUCCCUGAGGAAUCACUAGACCUGAUUUACAUAGUAACCUGAUGGCUUUUCUAUUGGAUCAUUGUGCUCAGAGUAGUCUAUUUCACAUAAUCAAUUUAAACUGCUAGCACCUGAGAGAAGACCCGAGGAAAUCGACUCCAGUCUUCCCCAAGUGGCCCUCUCUGAGGAAUUUGCCCAAGAGGGUUCCGGUGAUUUCAUACUGAGCGAUUUCCUCUGGGAGAACUGCCUUGGGGACCUGGACUUUCCUCUUGGCCCAGAAUCAUCCCUCUUCUGAGCUAAGUCUAGAACCUGAAGAAGGAGUUCAUAGAAGACAUCUCUGCAAGGAACCUUACAGCCAAAAUGGAGAAGGAUUUUACUAGGUCACCAAAGACUACAGAACUGGGAAUCAAUACUGUGUUCCAAGGCAGAAGAGCAGUAAAGUCUAGGCAAUGGGGGUUAAGUGACUUGCCCAGGGUCACACAGCAACGAAACAGUUCUGAGAACCUGUCUAUGCAAAGGAGACUUCUACAGAAGAAGAAGGAGAACACUGAAGCUUACAUUUGCACUCAAAGGAUUUGAAGGACAUGAUGGACUUUGGGAAAAGGGGUAGUUUUAUUGUUAAGAUGUUGCCAAAGGCAGAGUGCCUGUCUUCUGGCUAUCUGUCAAUGUGUCACUGUAGAUGGGGAGUGCCCUCAGAUGCCAACUGUCCAUACUUAUGCCUCUUGUCUCCUACCUUUAGUAACAGAGGGUCAAACUCUCUUGUGUGGUCAGUGGCACCCUGACCAAAAGGGGGAAGUGUCCUGUGUGCUUAUGGAACCCUCCAGUUUGCUCCUGACCCUGAUUUCCUCUAUUCAUGAGAAGUAUUUACUGAUUACAUCAACCAAUCCACAUCUCUUUAUUUUUAUCACUGUCCUGAAUCAUUUUUGGACUGGUAUAAAAGUUGUCUAAUUCUUUCAGGUAUAGAUGAAGUUCUCUCACAGUGCUUGAGGGUCUUCUGGUCUUGACCAGAGGUCUGGCUUUAUUUUGGGACUUGGUCUCAUAAUAAACCUAAUUCUUUAUGCUUUGGAGACUUUGACUUAGUUUCAUUAAAUUGAGAUCUUGUGGCUAGAAAUUAGACAACACUGUUUCCCCAGCCUCUGGUACAGUCUCUUUCCUAAGCCUGCUUGUAAAUAGUCAGUGUAUGUUUCUUGUCCUGAAUUCCCCAAAAGGUACAUAAGACCCCAAGUUCUUUUGCCCCCUGGAAAAUCUCCUUUGGCAGAGACAUUAUUCCCAGAGUCCCAGAGCUUUUUCUCUGUGUAGUAUUCAAGCUUGACUCUGUGUUAUGGCCAAAUCUUGAGCAUUUAUCUCUCUUGUCCUUAAAGAUUUUAAGAUUAAACAUUAAAGACUUGUUCUUUUUAACUACUUUAGUGGUUCUGUGUUUUUCAGGGUUGACACCAUAGAAGAAUAUCUGAGCCAGGAAGAAUAGAAAAACUUAAAAAAGGUAAUUAGGAGCACAUUAUAGAAAAAUUGUGGAAAGAAAAAACUGGGACCCCCGGAAAGAGAACAGUUUUAGGGGUAGUG